GAUAUGGCUCAGAACGAACGCUGGCGGCAGGCCUAACACAUGCAAGUCGAGCGCGCCCUUCGGUGUGAGCGGCGGACGGGUUAGUAACGCGUGGGAACGUACCCUUUGGUAGGGAAUAGCCACUGGAAACGGUGAGUAAUACCCUAUGAGCCCUUCGGGGGAAAGAUUUAUCGCCAAAAGGAUCGGCCCGCGUUAGAUUAGGUAGUUGGUGGGGUAAUGGCCUACCAAGCCUACGAUCUAUAGCUGGUUUUAGAGGAUGAUCAGCAACACUGGGACUGAGACACGGCCCAGACUCCUACGGGAGGCAGCAGUGGGGAAUCUUGGACAAUGGGGGCAACCCUGAUCCCAGCCAUGCCGCGUGAGUGAAGAAGGCCUUAGGGUCGUAAAGCUCUUUCGCCUGUGAAGAUAAUGACGGUAGCAGGUAAAGAAACCCCGGCUAACUCCGUGCCAGCCGCUGC
rnacentral:rRNA from 1 species